UACGUAGGGUGCGAGCGUUGUCCGGAAUUAUUGGGCGUAAAGAGCUCGUAGGCGGCCUGUCGCGUCGGUUGUGAAAGCCCGGGGCUUAACCCCGGGUCUGCAGUCGAUACGGGCAGGCUAGAGUUCGGUAGGGGAGAUCGGAAUUCCUGGUGUAGCGGUGAAAUGCGCAGAUAUCAGGAGGAACACCGGUGGCGAAGGCGGGUCUCUGGGCCGUAACUGACGCUGAGGAGCGAAAGCAUGGGGAGCGAACAGG
rnacentral:rRNA from 1 species